UCUACACAAAAAAACGAGUAACGAAUCCAUAUCAUUUGCAUAGGUGGAGAGAGAGAGGGAGGGGGAGGCGCAUUGACGAAAAUGACUGUUUCUGGUUCUCUGCAGAUCUCCCUGCAGCUCGGAAAUUGCCGGAACAAUUGACGCAGUAAGAGAUUUCGGGCUGCAGAAUCCGAAUGCAAAAGGCAGAUUAUGUAUACCGAGCGAUAAUCUGCCCUCAAUAUCACUGCAACACCAUUCUUGGAGUUCCAAUGUUUGGAAGAGAAUAAAUCCAAGAGUAUGCACCAUUCCUUGUAGAAAUAACCAGCUUAGGUGCCAUUGUUUUUUAAAUCCAGGCGUGCCUUCAGACAUUAACUAUAUAAAGAAUGCAACCUUGACAUUAGCAAGGUAAUUUCUCCUCUUCAACAUCUCUUCUCGUCUGGUCUUUCUGAGAAGAAUGCUGAAGCCAGAAUUAAGCUUGUUGAAUCAUUAGAUCAUUUAAUCGUUUGCAAGGAAGUCCUCUUGUGAUUAAACUGGCUUCAGCAGUCAGUAUUAUUAUCUUUGCUGUAUGGGGACUUGGGCCACUUGUGCGACUUAGCAGAAACUUACUCUUUCAUAAGGGUGAUAACACUUGGAAAAACAGUAGUACAUAUCAAAUUACAACAUCUUAUGUUCGGCCAUUGCUACUAUGACAGGAGCAAUCAUUAUUUGCAGAGAAUUGAAUCCAGUAACUAUACCAACAGAAGCAGGUCAGAUUGUUAAACAAAGGCUCCUAAAUUUGUCAGAUCUUUGUCAUCAGUGUUGGGCUUUGCAUACUGUCUGUCAAGGUCCGUAUUGAUAUCUUUUUACUGACAGGUGUUGAUUCCUAAAGUUUACAUUAUGUUGAUACUCUAUACUUUCUUUUGCUUUAAAUUGAUAUUAUUAGAGGUUGGUUCCAAUCAUUAUUUUCACGUAUAUUGGCAGCUGGACUUGCUAAGGUCCUCGUACAUAUUCAUGUAUAUACAUCUGAGCUUCCUGCUGGUUGAAUAUAGCAUUCAUUUUUAUUUUCAUGAUCA